rnacentral:rRNA from 1 species
AGACGCACUCGUGCCAGCCGCCGCGGUGAUACGAAGGGUGCAAGCGUUAAUCGGAAUUUACUGGGCGUAAAGACGUGCGUAGGCGGUUGGCUAAGUCAGAUGUGAAAGCCCUGGGCUCAACCUGGGAAUGGCAUUUGAAACUGGUCGGCUAGAGUGUGAUAGAGGAUGGCGGAAUUCCCGGUGUAGCGGUUGAAAUGCGUAGAGAUCGGGAGGAACAUCCGUGGCGAAGGCGGCCAUCUGGAUCAACGACUGACGCUGAGGCACGAAAGCGUGGGGAGCAAACAGGAUUAGAUACCCUGGUAGUCCACGCCCUAAACGAUGGCGAACUGGAUGUUGGGCUCAACUCGGAGCUCAGUGUCGAAGCUAAACGCGUUAAAGUUCGCCGACCUGGGGA